GAAUCCGUGGCGCAAUGGUAGCGCGUCUGACUCCAAAUCAGAAGGUUUGCCUUGUUAAAAUCACGUCGGGGUCA
rnacentral:tRNA from 1 species